GACGAACGCUGGCGGCGUGCUUAACACAUGCAAGUCGAACGGAAAGGCCCUGCUUUUGUGGGGUGCUCGAGUGGCGAACGGGUGAGUAACACGUGAGUAACCUGUCCUUGACUUUGGGAUAAAUUCAGGAAACUGGGGCUAAUACCGGAUAGGAGCUCCUGCUGCAUGGGGGGGGUUGGAAAGUUUCGGCGGUUGGGGAUGGACUCGCGGCUUAUCAGCUUGUUGGUGGGGUAGUGGCUUACCAAGGCUUUGACGGGUAGCCGGCCUGGGAGGGUGACCGGCCACCUUGGGCCUGAGAUACGGCCCAGACUCCUACGGGCGGCAGCAGUGGGGAAUCUUGCGCAGUGGGCGGAAGCCUGAUGCAGCAACGCCGCGUGCGGGAUGACGGCCUUCGGGUUGUAAACCGCUUUCGCCUGUGACGAAGCGUGAGUGACGGUAAUGGGUAAAGAAGCACCGGCUAACUACGUG
rnacentral:rRNA from 1 species